rnacentral:rRNA from 1 species
GAGUCAGGCAGGGUCUUUAUAUCUAUCAUGCAUAGUCGAGCGGGGAAGGGUAGCUUGCUACCUAACCUAGCGGCGGACGGGUGAGAUAAUGCUUAGGAAUCUGCCAUUUAGUGGGGGACAACAUUCCGAAAGGAAUGCUAAUACCGCAUACGCGAGCGGGUCCUACGGGAGAAAGCAGGGGAUCUUCGGACCUUGCGCUAAAUGAUGAGCCUAAGUCGGAUUAGCUAGUUAGGUGGAGGUAAAGGCCUACCAAGGCGACGAUCUGUAGCGGGUCUGAGAGGAUGAUCCGCCACACUGGGACUGAGAACACGGCCCAGACUCCUACGGGAGCGAGCGGGGCAGCAGUGGGGAAUAUUGGACAAUGGGCGGAAGCCUGAUCCAAGCCAUGCCGACGUGUGUGAAGAAGGCCUUUUGGUUGUAAAGCACUUUAAGCGAGGAGGAGGCUACUAGUACUAAUACUAACUGGAUAGUGGACGUUACUCGCAGAAUAAGCACCGGCUAACUCUGUGCCAGCAGCCGCGGUAAUACACGAAGCGGGGAGGGUGCGAGCGUUAAUCGGAUUUACUGGGCGUAAAGCGUGCGUAGGCGGCUUUUUAAGUCGGAUGUGAAAAUCCCCGAGCUUAACUUGGGAAUUGCAUUCGAUACUGGGAAGCUAGAGUAUGGGAGAGGAUGGUAGAAUAUCCAGGUGUAGCGGUGAAAUGCGUAGAGAUCUGGAGGAAUACCGAUGGCGAAGGCAGCCAUCUGGCCUAAACGAGCGGGUACUGACGCUGAGGUACGAAAGCAUGGGGAGCAAACAGGAUUAGAUACCCUGGUAGUCCAUGCCGAUAAACAGAUGUCUACUAGCCGUUGGGGCCUUUGAGGCUUUAGUGGCGCAGCUAACGCGAUAAGUAGACCGCCUGGAGCGAGCGGGGAGUACGGUCGCAAGACUAAAACUCAAAUGAAUUGACGGGGGCCCGCACAAGCGGUGGAGCAUGUAGGUUAUAAUUCGAUGCAACGCGAAGAACGAGCGGGCCUUACCUGGUCUUGACAUAGUAAGAACUUUCCAGAGAUGGAUUAGGUGCCUAUCGGGAACUUACAUACAGGUGCUGCAUGGCUGUCGUCAGCUCGUGUCGUGAGAUGUUGGGUUAAGUCCACUGUCUAUAUCUGUAGCGUCUAACCCUUUUCCUUAUUUGCCAGCGAGUAAUGUCGGGAACUUUAAGGAUACUGCUACAGUGAUCAAAACUGGAGGAAGGCGGGGACGACGUCAAGUCAUCAUGGCCCUUACGACCAGGGCUACACACGUGCUACAAUAUGGUCGGUACAAAGGGUUGCUACCUAGCGAUAGGAUGCUAAUCUCAAAAAGCCGAUCGUAGUCCGGAUACGUAGCGGGUGGAGUCUGCAACUCGACUCCAUGAAGUCGGAAUCGCUAGUAAUCGCGGAUCAGAAUGCCGCGGUA